GAAUCCGCYAAGGAGUGUGUAACAACUCACCUGCCGAAUGAAUUAGCCCUGAAAAUGGAUGGCGCUGAAGCGGGCGGCCGACACCAUGCCGUCUGGACAAGAAAUGUUUUCAGAUGAGUAGGAGGGCGUGGCGGCCGUGUCGAAGCGCGCCUGCAGAGGCGUGUGGAACGGCCGCUAGUGCAGAUCUUGGUGGUAGUAGCAAGUAUUCAAGCGAGAUCCUUGAAGGGCGAAGUGGGGAAGGGUUUCACGCGAACAUUGAUUGGGCGUGAGUGAGUCGUUCCUAAGCCGAGUGGCAAUUGCUAAUUAACGGCGAAAGGGAAGCGGGUUGACAUUCCCGCACACGGAUGUGGAGGCGGCGACGCAUUAUUGGGGCGAACACGCUGGCGAUGGCGCUGGGCAGAGUUGUCUUUUCUGUUUGACCGCUUGCGCACGCAGUGUGGAAUCCGCUUGUCGGGAGAAACACGCGUGUACGGGCAGAGCGCUGGGGCUUUUCCAGCGUCCAGCUCGCCAUCGACGGCCCUUGAAACUUUGCCUGCUGAAUCUUAAGAUCCACGCCGUGGCGUACCGAUCACCGCAUCAGGUCCCCAAGGUGAACAGCCUCUGCUCAAUAUGAAAAAUGCAGGUAAGGGAAGUCGGCAAA
rnacentral:rRNA from 1 species